GGAGAUUGGUUUGAUUCAGCAAAGCCAAUCCUCUUCCCUCCUCCUCACCCCAAGCCCUGCCCACUGAUAAAGAAGAAUUUUGCUUAUCAGGAGCCACAGUCCAAGGUACAGACUUUCAUUGCUGGUUUGAUUAAAGGAUCACCAAAACUUUCUAUGGCAGAGAACAAAAGAAUACCAAGUGGAUAGUUCCUCCCUGUGAAGAGGGUCCAAGUGGGACUGAAUUUUCUCUUUCUAGAGGUGUUUCAUGGAAAGAUGAAGUGGUGACAGGACUGAAGAAUUGCUGUUCUUCACUGCAAGUGUUUACAUGUUUUUGUCUUGAUAAGGUUUUUUAAUAUGUUUUAUGUAAGUUUGUUGCAAGCAGUAUUUUAAAUUUUUUGUAUUUUUUCUCUGGUUGCCACAACGGGUAGAGAAGGUUCCACCCUAAAUUUACCUUAGGCAAAUUUGUAUACCUCUUCCCAUCUCCUCAGAGCAAAGCAUAAAAUUACUACACCAAGGCAAGUGUAGUAAUUUUACUUACUUUUAAUUUAACUUACUUUUAAUUUAACUUACUCCCAGGUAAGUCCCAGAAUCCUGCUAACUACAUGUAGUAACGGUAGGUGAUGUGUAGAGCAUGAUUGUGCAGAAGGGCAUGUGGAACUGUUGGUGGCCCCUGGAAGCAGGGAGAAAGGGGCUGACAGAGGAGCAGAGCUGGCAGCUGGAAACCUCUCUCCAGCUAUAGACAAAGAAGGCAUAAGAGCUGAUAAAAGACAAGAAGAAAGAUUUGGGGUUUGAGAACCACUGAAGGGUAUGGUAAAGUUGGAAAGGUAUUUGGUCUGAACCCAGGACUUUGACUGAAAUGAUAUCCUGAGGAGGUUGGAACCUCUUGAGUUUUGUUGUAUCUUUGCCCCCCACCCCUGAGGCAAUCCAGACUAUUAUGUAGUACAAUUUUUACAGAAUAUAAUUUUCUCAUGGUGCCCAUUGAGAGGAAAAAUCCUUUUUCCCUGGGUACAGGAAACCUGGCUGGUGGGAGAGAUAAAGGUGGUAAUCUGGGACAUGUAUAUUUGUCUGAGCUAGGACAAUUCCUGAACCUGUAAGAUUAUGGACCCCAAAAGGCAAGGCAGCCUAACAAUUGAAAAUUGGCCAAUCCUUAAAGUUUGUAUUUUUUUGACAAGAAGUGCAAUGCAUUGCAAUAUCAUUAAGAAAUACACAGUCUUGAAUGGAACUUGCCAUGCUAUUUGGAGCUCAGCUUACAAGUCCAGCAAGUAUCAAAAAUAGUUUUAUAAAAUUGUCUAAUGUUUGAAAUGUUAUUAAUAAAUAAGUAAAGAGUAUGUAAAAUACUAGACCUCACCAAAGAAGAGUGCUAUCUCAAGAAACACAAAGGAAAUCACCGAACAAUCUGCUGGACUCUUUGGUGACUGCAGCUGAAAAAGUGGUUUCAUGAACUCUUCCUGCCACUGGAUUCUGGGUUGUAUCACACCUUGCCUGCAAUUUUAGAGACUCACGGGGUGGGGAACAACAACUUGCAUAGAGCACAGUUUUUGUUUUAACUAGAUUCAGACUUCUGAUUAUUGAAAUAGCAAUUGUCAGUUAUAUAAUUUCCUGUAUGCUUUCCUCUUCUUUCCUUUUUCCUCUCUCUGCUAGGUUAGGAUUCCACUACUGCCAUGAGAGGAAAGGUACUGUUACUGUGAUCCCGAUCAAUGUCUUGAGCCACGGGGUAGUGUGAGAGACUGGAAGGCUUGCCAGCUCAAAAUAUUUCAGGUGUUUUUAUGUGGGAGAAGGGGCAGAUCAGGCUUUGCUCUGGUGAGCCGAUGCCCUGCUCCACACACCCCACUGCCCCAGGCCUGUAUCCCAGCCCAGCAGUGGCUGCCAAUCCCUGGCACACCCGAGGCAACACUCCACACCUCUGCCUGGAGCCCCUAAUCCAGCUCCUAAAUGGCCAAGUGACUGGAAGCCCCAUGUGGGGGAAGGCCCCAGGAAAGCCAAAGGGUGUUUAACUCAGGAUAUGUGGCAACCACAUGUCUUGACCCUAUGUCUCCUGGGAAUUUCUAUCAGCUGAACACCACUGGAACCAGGAGUGGUAGUAGCUAUACUAGUUCUUUUCUGUAAUUCUCUCUUUCUCUUUAUUUUUCUAAUUCCCUCCUCUCAGAUUUUUGUGUAACUUAAAAUCUAACAGGAUUGGAGUUUGUUAACUUGCCAGUAAAGGUUUUUUGUUGUUUUGA